rnacentral:rRNA from 1 species
UACGGGGGGAGCAAGCGUUGUUCGGAUUUACUGGGCGUAAAGGGCGGGUAGGCGGCCACCGCAAGUCAGUUGUGAAAUCUCCGGGCUUAACCCGGAAAGGUCAACUGAUACUGCGGGGCUAGAGUGCAGAAGGGGCAACUGGAAUUCUCGGUGUAGCGGUGAAAUGCGUAGAUAUCGAGAGGAACGCCUGCGGCGAAGGCGGCCACCUGGUUGGAUACUGACGCUGAGACGCGAAAGCGUGGGGAGCAAACAGG